rnacentral:ncRNA from 23 species
UAUCUUUGCACCCGGUUUUGUUGGAGUAUGCCUUUCGGUAUACUCCAUGAAAAGGGAAUUGGGUGUGACUCCCAAACAGUCCCGCUGCUGUGAACUCAUAUGAUAGGACUUGCCAAUCACCUAUGCCACUGCCAGUAUUCGUACGGUGGGAAGGCGGCAAAUCCGGAGUAAGUCAGAAGACCUGCAAAACCUAUCAUUUCUUAU